rnacentral:misc_RNA from 1 species
GAAAUGCGAUACUUGGUGUGAAUUGCAGAAUCCCGUGAACCAUCGAGUCUUUGAACGCAAGUUGCGCCCGAAGCCAUUAGGCCGAGGGCACGCCUGCCUGGGUGUCACACAUCGUUUCCCCAACGCAAACAUGUAACAAUGUUGCUGCGCGGCGCCUUCGGACCGAUACCCCAGGUCAGGCGGGGCUACCCGCCGAGUUUAA